rnacentral:rRNA from 1 species
UCUGGUUGAUCCUACCAGUGAUAUACGCUCGUCUCAAAGGUUAAGCCAUGCAUGUCUAAGUACAAGCUUCCUAGAAAGUGAAACCGCAUAAGGCUCAGUAUAACAGCUAUAAUUUACAAGAUCCUCAUCCAAACAGUUACUUGGAUAACUGUGGAAAAGCCAGAGCUAAUACAUGCAUUAUGCCGGGACUGUUGGCCUCCGGGUCGGCGGAACUGGUGCACUUAUUAGUUAAACCAAUCGCCUCCGGGCGCUUUGAGUUGAAAUCUGGAUAAGGAUGCCGAUCGUACGGUCGCUUGCGACUGACGACAGAUCUUUCAAAUGUCUGCCCUAUCAACUAUUGAUGGUAGUGUAGAGGACUACCAUGGUUGCGACGGGUAACGGGGAAUCAGGGUUCGAUUCCGGAGAGGGAGCCUGAGAAAUGGCUACCACAUCCAAGGAAGGCAGCAGGCGCGUAAAUUACCCAAUCCCGGCACGGGGAGGUAGUGACGAGAAAUAACAAUAUGGACCUCUCUAACGAUGGUCCAUAAUUGGAAUGAGUUGAGCAUAAAUCCUUUUGCAAGGAUCAAGUGGAGGGCAAGUCUGGUGCCAGCAGCCGCGGUAAUUCCAGCUCCACUAGCGUAUAUUAAAGUUGUUGCGGUUAAAACGUUCGAAGUUGAUACCCCGUCCAGACUCGCGUCCGUCGCGGCGCCCGGCCUCUCGGUUGGGACCGUCCGUGUACGCGCUCGCGGCUGCGACUCACAAUGGUGUACCUGGGCGUUCUACUCCGUGACGGGUCAGGACUUGUCGCCGCGACCUCGUCGGUCAAGGUCUUGUUCGACCCAGCUUCAUGGUGCCCGGGAACUCUCGUUUACCUUGAACAAAUUAGAGUGCUCAAAGCAGGCUAGUUCAAAGCGUCCGGUCCUCCGGGCCGGCGUUGGCCGAGAAUAAUUUUGCAUGGAAUAAUGGAACAUGACCUCGGUCUGAGUGGUUUCGUUGGUUUGUAAUAGACCAAGAGGUAAUGAUUAACAGAAGUAGUCGGGGGCAUUGGUAUUACGGCGCGAGAGGUGAAAUU